rnacentral:rRNA from 1 species
UACGGGGGGGGCAAGCGUUGUUCGGAAUUACUGGGCGUAAAGGGCUCGUAGGCGGCCAACUAAGUCGGAUGUGAAAUCCCCAGGCUCAACUUGGGAACUGCAUCCGAUACUGGAUGGCUUGAAUUCGGGAGAGGGAUGCAGAAUUCCAGGUGUAGCGGUGAAAUGCGUAGAUAUCUGGAGGAAUACCGGUGGCGAAGGCGGCAUCCUGGACCGGCAUUGACGCUGAGUGAGCGAAAGCUAGGGGAGCAAACGGG